UACGUAGGUGGCAAGCGUUGUCCGGAAUUAUUGGGCGUAAAGCGCGCGCAGGCGGUCCUUUAAGUCUGAUGUGAAAGCCCACGGCUCAACCGUGGAGGGUCAUUGGAAACUGGGGGACUUGAGUGCAGAAGAGGAGAGUGGAAUUCCACGUGUAGCGGUGAAAUGCGUAGAGAUGUGGAGGAACACCAGUGGCGAAGGCGACUCUCUGGUCUGUAACUGACGCUGAGGCGCGAAAGCUAGGGGAGCAAACGGG
rnacentral:rRNA from 1 species